AGAUACAUUUUUCUCUAAGCUCUAAACUCUAUCUCAAAACUCUGUUAAAAUCCCAUUUGAGUACUCCAUUUCUGUUGAGGUAGAGUACUGACUUUAGCAUCGAAGGGUCCUGCCGGAGCACCUCCAACUCUGGUUUAGACUUUCCUUGCAGAUCCCAACGGCGGACGCAAUCCCCUCGACUCCAGCUUCUCCGACGUCGGUGGAAUUCUGCACCAAUAGAAUUGGCACUAGAGG
rnacentral:lncRNA from 1 species